GAGUAAUGCAUAGGAAUCUGCCCAGUAGUGGGGGACAACCUGGGGAAACUCAGGCUAAUACCGCAUACGACCUACGGGUGAAAGGGGGCUUCGGCUCUCGCUAUUGGAUGAGCCUAUGUCAGUUUAUUUUGUUGGUGAGGUAAGUCCUAACAAACGCGAUGAUCUGUACUGGUCUGAGAGGACGAUCAACCACACUGGGACUGAACACGGCCCAGACUCCUACGAGAGGGAGCAGUGGGGAAUAUUGGACAAUGGGGGAAAGCCUGAUCAGCAAUGCCGCGUGUGUGAAAAAGCGUGCGGGUUGUAAAGCACUUUCAGCAGUGAAGAAAAGCUGACGGUUAAUACCCGUCAGUCUUGAAAUUAACUGCAAAAGAAGCACCGGCUAACUCCGUGCCAGCAGC
rnacentral:rRNA from 1 species